UACGUAGGGUGCAAGCGUUUGUCCGGAAUUAUUGGGCGUAAAGAGCUCGUAGGCGGUUUGUUGCGUCGGCUGUGAAAUCCCGAGGCUCAACCUCGGGUCUGCAGUCGAUACGAGCAAACUAGAGUGUUGCAGAGGAGACUGGAAUUCCUGGUGUAGCGGUGAAAUGCGACAGAUAGUCAGGAGGAACACCGGUGGCGAAGGCGGGUCUCUGGGCAACAACUGACGCUGGAGGAGCGAAAGCGUGGGGAGCGAACAGG
rnacentral:rRNA from 1 species